rnacentral:rRNA from 1 species
CGCCUUUUGGCUCCCCUUGGAUUUUAGCGGCGGACGGGUGAGUAACACGUGGGUAACCUGCCUGUAAGACUGGGAUAACUCCGGGAAACCGGGGCUAAUACCGGAUGCUUGAUUGAACCGCAUGGUUCAAUUAUAAAAGGUGGCUUUUAGCUACCACUUACAGAUGGACCCGCGGCGCAUUACCUAGUUGGUGAGGUAACGGCUCACCAAGGCAACAAUGCGUAGCCAACCUGAAAGGGUGAUCGGCCACACUGGGACUGAAACACGGCCCAAACUCCUACGGGAGGCAGCAUUAGGGAAUCUUCCGCAAUGGACAAAAGUCUGACGGACCAACCCCCCGUGAGUGAUGAAGGUUUUCGGAUCGUAAAACUCUGUUGUUAGGAAAAAACAAUUACCGUUCAAAUAGGGCGGUACCUUGACGGUACCUAACCAAAAAGCCACGGUUAACUACUUGCCAGCACCCGCGGUAAUACUUAGGUGGCAACCGUUGUCCGGAAUUAUUGGGCGUAAAGCGCGCGCAGGCGGUUUCUUAAUUCUGAUGUGAAAGCCCCCGGCUCAACCGGGGAGGGUCAUUGGAAACUGGGGAACUUGAUUGCAAAAGAGGAGAGUGAAAUUCCACUUGUAGCGGUGAAAUGCGUAGAGAUGUGAAGGAACACCAUUGGCGAAGGCGAUUCUCUGGUCUGUAACUGACGCUGAGGCGCGAAAGCGUGGGGAGCGAACAGGAUUAGAUACCCUGGUAGUCCACGCCGUAAACGAUGAGUGCUAAGUGUUAGAGGGUUUCCGCCCUUUAGUGCUGCAGCAAACGCAUUAAGCACUCCGCCUGGGGAGUACGGUCGGCAGACUGAAACUCAAAGGAAUUGACGGGGGCCCGCACAAUCGGUGAACAUGUGGUUAAUUCGAGCACGCGAAGAACCUUACCAGGUCUGACCUCCCUCUGACACCCCUAGAGAUGGGGCUUCCCCUUCAGGGCAGAAGUGACCAGUAGGGGCAUGGUUUGUCGUCCAG